rnacentral:rRNA from 1 species
GACGAACGCUGGCGGCGUGCCUAAUACAUGCAAGUCGAACGCAGUGGGGACGGGUGAGUAACACGUGGGUAACCUCCCAUCAGAGGGGAUAAAACUUGGAAACAGGUGCUAAACCGAUACUGAUGUGUGGACCCGCGGUGAAUUAGCUAGUUGGUGAGGUAACGGCUCACCAAGGCCACGAUGCAUAGCCGACCUGAGAGGGUGAUCAGCCACACUGGUACUGAUACACGGUCCAGACUCCUACGGGAGGCAGCAGUAGGGAAUCUGCGGCAAUGGACGAAAGUCUGACCGAGCAACGCCGCGUGAGUGAAGAAGGUUUGCGGAUCGUAAAACUCUGUUGUUAGAGAAGCGGUAUCUAACCAGAAAGCCACGGCUAACUACGUGCCAGCCGCCGCGGUAAUUC